rnacentral:rRNA from 1 species
CAGGCCUAACACAUGCAAGUCGAGCGCCCCGCAAGGGGAGCGGCAGACGGGUGAGUAACACGUGGGAAUCUAUCCUUUGCUACGGAACAACUCUGGGAAACUGGAGCUAAUACCGUAUGUGCCCGAAAGGGGAACGAUUUAUCGGCAAGGGGUGAGCCCGCGUCGGAUUAGCUAGUUGAUGGGGUAAAGGCCUACCAAGGCGACGAUCCGUAGCUGGUCUGAGAGGAUGAUCAGCCACACUGGGACUGAGACACGGCCCAGACUCCUACGGGAGGCAGCAGUGGGGAAUAUUGGACAAUGGGGGCAACCCUGAUCCAGCCAUGCCGCGUGAGUGAUGAAGGCCCUAGGGUUGUAAAGCUCUUUCACCGGUGAAGAUAAUGACGGUAACGGGAGAAGAAGCCCCGGCUAACUUCGUGCCAGCAGCCGCGGUAAU